rnacentral:rRNA from 1 species
GAUGAACGCUAGCGGCAGGCUUAAUACAUGCAAGUCGUGGGGCAGCAUGAGUAGCAAUACUUGAUGGCGACCGGCAAACGGGUGAGGAACACGUACACAACCUUCCUUCAAGCGGGGAAUAGCCCAGAGAAAUUUGGAUUAAUACCCCAUAAUAUGUUUGAUAAGGCAUCUUAUUAAUAUUAAAGCUUCGGCACUUGAUGAUGGGUGUGCGGCUGAUUGGAUAGUUGGCGGGGUAACGGCCCACCAAGUCUACGAUCAGUAGCUGAUGUGAGAGCAUGAUCAGCCACACGGGCACUGAGACACGGGCCCGACUCCUACGGGAGGCAGCAGUAAGGAAUAUUGGACAAUGGACGAAAGUCUGAUCCAGCCAUGCCGCCGUGAACGGAUUAAAGGUCCUCUGGACUUGUAAACUUCUUUAUAUGG